rnacentral:misc_RNA from 1 species
GGCUGGUGAUACACUGGAUAAUUUGGGAACAUAGCCCAGAACUGGAGAAUGAACUAGUAUACGCAAUAGCUCUCUUUUGGUCCCCAUUUUUCCUGAAAAGCNNNNGCUUCAUGUGUAAUGAUCAAUCUUUUCAUUGCAAGAUCUGUCACCCGAUUGGAUGGUACGUUAAUUGCUCUCUCAGGACUGAGGAAAGAAUAUUCUACCAAAAUAGCAGCAUCAUAUAGAAUUGUUCUCAAAAAACUUUCAUCUUCGGAACUCAACAGUGAAGUCACAGGUAAGGUUGGCUCCAACAGCAUCCUUACAAGAGUCUCGAAGAAGUAGAAGCUCUGCAACCCAGUUAUUGAG